AUUGAAUUAAUUUCCUUACAAAACAUUGAAUUCAUCAAUUACUAAUGUGACAUGGUUUCUGCAAGCAAAAAAAAAUGCAUCAUCAUUAUGUACUUACAAAUUCACAUAUAUAUCUACACAAAUUGUUGUAAAAGUCAACUAAUUCUUAAAAUAGCAUGAAAAUACAAUGGUACGACGACAGGUAUGUCGAGCCUCCCAUUCUUGAUAGAAUAAUAAAAAAAUCACCAGAAAUUUUUGUAUCUCUGCACACUUUGUAACAAAGAGAGAAAAAUGGACGUUUUGUUUGAUAAAAUUGAUUGACAUUUGUGAAUGGGACAAUAAAAUCUGGCUCUUGUUUGUUUGAAAGCCAUUUUCUUUGAAUACCAAUUAAAUGUGGACUUCUUUGCUUUUAUGUCUAUCCAAUUUCUGGAAUUGAUAAAGGUGUGACUGACUAUCGAUUUCGUGAAAAAUGUCUUGUUGUUUGGAUGUUUUUCAGAGAAUAUAUAAAUCAUAAUUUGACAAGACGACUCUCAUACAAAGUUGUCUUAAGAAAAAAGUCAUACACUCCCUCCCAUUUUAUAUAUAAGAGCAUCCGUAAUGGGGUUCCUUGAUAGCCUACUUGAUAGUGUUUGUGUUAUUGAGUAGAUAGUGCUGCAUUGUAGUUCCUUGAUAGCCUACUUGAUAAAAUUAGUUUUGAUUUUAUGUUUUUCAUUUAAAUUUUAUUGCAUAAUUUAAAUAACACAAUUUAUUUCAAAUUUAAAUUGCAUUAAUUAUAAAAUCCUAAAUAUUACAUAAAACUUAAAUAAAAUAAAAACAAUUCAUAAAAAUUAACUACUCUGGUGACGACAUUUUUGGAAGAAAAAUUGUAGGAGGAACGAAUAUGAUAUUUUCACUACAAAAAAACGCUCAUUUUAGCUACGGAAUUAGCUACGGAUUUAUUUCCGUAGCUAUUCUGUGACGGAAUCGCUACGGAUUCGUGACGGAUAUAUUUUGUUAAAUUUUCCAACGGAUUUGACAACGGAUUUCCGUAGCAAUUCUUUCGCUACGGAUAUAAUCUGUCACUAAAGUUUAAAAAAAUAGUAAUUUUAUUAAAAAUUCUUAGCUACGGAAUAACCGUAGCUAAAGCCGUAGCUAAACUGAAAUUUUAUCCUUAGCUACGGAUUCUAUCCGUAGCAAAAUCAGCGUGACUUAUUAGCUACGGAAUUUCCGUAGCUAAAUCCAAAUAUUUUCAAAUCUAACGUCAAGCUUUUUCGCCCAAUUAAAACCUAGUUUUUUCUCACUAUUCCAACCGCGACUGGUCUUCCAUUUCUCCCACCGCCGUCCUCUCACCGGUGUCGCCACCGUCCUUGCUCGGACGCUCACCGUCGCAGCCGCCGUCGACUUGGUAAGUUCUCUUCGAUUUGAGGGGGUUCUCUUCUGGUUAUGGGAUGUUAAUAACUAAGCUUUGUUAUUUGAUAUUAUACUCCCAAUUUAGGGAUUGCACUGCCCUCGCCCAGCCCUACCCCGUCCCGCGACUCCAUAGCUGCAACAAUUGGUAAGCUUCGUUAUCAAUGCAGCAAACUUUUGAUACCUUAGUCAGUUUGAUUGAUUUCUCCUAAAAAUGAGCUUUUCUUAUUUGAAAGUUUUUAAAGAGUAAACACACUAUUAUCUCCAAUUUUUUGAUACCUAAAUUGUCGGUCAUUUUUUUUUAACUUUCGGGGUUGAAUUUAUUAUCUCCAAUUUUAAUGCUUCAGUAUUUCAGUUUUGAUCGGUUUCAGCAAGUAUUGGGUUCUAAAAGGAUUAAAUCAAACCCAUCAUCAUUUCUAUGUAGUUUUUGGUACUUAUUUAGUCGGCUAUUUGAUUUAAAUCUGAAAGUAUAUAAAGUUGUGGAAUCAUCUCCUCAUUUGGUUGAAUGCAUACUAGAAAAGUCUGCUUCUACACUAAUUAAACUCACUCGAGCUCUCACCAUAGCAGACCAUUCCACUGGUGUUGAAUUCUCAUGCAGCCAUUGUUGUCACUGCAUUUAAUUCUGAAGUAGUUUCUUUUUCAUUCAUGUUUGAGCAAGAGAUUAUUCCAGUAACUGCUUCUUGGAGAGUGUAUGUUUUGUGCUAAGGAGAGUAUCUUUGCUGGAGUUAUAGACUUUCCCAAAAAACUACGUGUUCAGUUUACUUCAUUGAAAGCUUUGUUUAUAGCAGGGUGGUUUUUGUCAUUUCAUAUAUUCCCCAUCAUCAAUUCUGAAUGCUUGUUUGAUAUAUGUAUACCACCUAUUCCAAGUGUUAGGCUAUUAGUAUCUUUUAUUUCGAGAAUCCAGCAACCCAUUUUUGUAUAAUUUCAUCUUAUUGUGUUUCACUAUAAGAAAUAGAGUAGUCUCUGAAAAUGCAAAAGCAACUUAUUGAUUCUGUGUUUGAGAUGAUUCCAUUUGUCUUAUGAAGGUGGGGAGAACAUUUUCUUACCCUAAAUUCCUUGGCUCAUUUAUGAAGCUGCUCUACUACCCCUUCUGUUCAGAAUCUAAGGAAUUAUUGAUGAUUAAGAAAUAGUUUUCUGGGUUCUUUGGGAUUAUAUAGUUCAUUAGUUUGUGGUCUGACCAGAAAUUCGGAAUGGAAAUUCUUUUAAUGAAAGUUCAUGCUGUGGUUCAAAAGGUUCCAUAAUUAUAGGAGUAUUAAACAAGGCUGAUUGCAUAUCUUUUUGAAAUAAAAUGAUUUGUGUUCGUGGAUUGGAUGGUAUCUUUAACUGUAUUCGAGGAUGCAUCUAAAGCUUGGCUUGCAAUAUAAAAUCUUUUUUCUAAACAAAAUAAACAGUUUUACAUGCUUUUGAUUUAUAUGCUUUUGUGAACUACAGAUAACCAAGACUUGUACGUCUUACAAAAAAACAAAUCUUUAAACUGUUGCAAUUUAUAAAAUAGAAAGUUAAUUAUGGAUUUUGCUGAAACCUGCGAACUUUUUGGAGUUUUCUAAAACAGAUUAAACCCCAAAGGAUUUUUAUUUUUAGUGUACUCUGCAUAUCAUUGAUGCUAUGAGAUUCGUCAUGUUUGUUGUAUAUGCAGAUAGGCGAUUACUUGGAUGUGGCAAUCACCCUGACUCAGUGAUCCUUGCUGCUGUUGUGUUGCUGAACUUUAUUGUGAGCAUAACCGACCACAUUUCUGUUUUGGUAGAAUCAUAUUUAGCUCAUGUUUGUAAUAUGACCCUUGAGAGGAGCUCCACGAAUGAUGUGAAUUCUACUUGGAAAUUGAUGAAUAGCAACUUAGCUACGGAUUAGCUACGGAUUUUUCCGUAGCUAAAUCCAAAUAGCCGGUGAAGAAACUCCUGUCGCCUGAUUCGGACUAGCCACGGAUUUUUCCGUAGCUAUUUAGCUACGGAUUUUUCCGUAGCUAAGUCCGUUGGUGACUGUUAAACGACGAUUACGGCGACACAUUCCAGCGAGGGAUAUUUCCGUAGCUAAAUCCGUAGCUAACGUUAGCGAGGGAUCGUAUUUCCGUAGCUAAAAAUUUAGCGACGAGCGAUAUACCUACGGACGACAUCCGUUCCCGAUCCGUAGGUAAAACUGUUUAGCUACGGAAUUAGUGUUUUUAGCUACGGAAAUUUCCGUAGCUAUUUUGCGCGAAUUUUGUAGUGUUUGCAAGAAAAAUUGAUAUUUUGCAAGAAAAAUUGUAGGAGGAAGAAGGAGUGAGUUGUGAUGAAUGAAAGUGAGUUGUGAUGAAUGAAUGAGGGAGAAGUAUUAUUUAUAGAGAGA
rnacentral:lncRNA from 1 species